UUGCUAAGGAGUAGGAUUUCCUAGCGAGUAUACUUCCAUAAAGAAAAUGUUGGUUAUGUUUUGUACUUUGUUAAAUAUUCUCUGGUUUGUCUAUUCUUCUAAAUCCCUGAUGACCAGGUUUGCAUUCGCGAACAAGACAAUGAAAUGUCAAGAAAGUUAAUGGGCUUGCUUAGGAAGUACCAUCAAAGUGAUCAAUCAUAUUAUCAAAUUAUGUCACCUUGUGAGGCAAGGUGAACAACCCAGAGAAGGGCGUUUUUAUCUGCCUUUUUCAAUUGGCAAUCAUCACAGAGUCAGGUGUUUCGUCCAGUUAUGGUCCUUGAUCCUUCGCUGAAAAAGAAGUGAAAGUGGGAGUCAAUGAUGCACUCGGGAUCAAAGCCGUGAGGUUCUGCGUCUGUCUGGAUGGAAGGAAUAUUAGGUAGACGCUAUACACUUGCUUUGAUGCCUGGAGAACAAACAAGAGUCAAGAAGGGAAAGGGGGGCAAAAGAAAAGUAAAAUGACCAUCUUUGCCUUUCAUAAUUCUGUGUUUAAAAAUGUUGAGUUAUAUCUUCUUUUUUU